UGUAAGCGUAUACCAAAGUUGUUGCAGUUAAAACGCUCGUAGUCGGAAUUUGGCAGUUCCGGAUGUGUGCACGUCGUGUGCGCACUUCGCGGGGAUUGCUUUUGUGGUCUUGCGUAGGAUGAGGCACUUUUAUUAGUGAACGUCCUCACGCAACCACUUUUUACUGUGAGAAAAUCAGAGUGCUCAAAGCAGGCAUUUGCCGUGAAUGUAUUAGCAUGGAAUAAUAGAAUAGGACUUGGUUCUAUUUUGUUGGUUUGUUGGGACUGAGUAAUGAUUAAGAGGGACAGUUGGGGGCAUUUGAAUUUCGGUGCUAGAGGUGAAAUUCUUAGAUUACCGAAAGACAAACUGCUGCGAAAGCGUCUGCCAAGGAUGUUUUCAUUGA
rnacentral:rRNA from 1 species